rnacentral:rRNA from 1 species
UACAGAGAGUGCAAACGUUGUUCGGAAUUACUGGGCGUAAAGCGCACGCAGGCGGACUGUUAAGUCGGGGGUGAAAUCCUGGGGCUCAACCUCAGAAUUGCCUCCGAUACUGGCAGUCUCGAGUGCGGGAGAGGUGAGUGGAAUUCCCAGUGUAGAGGUGAAAUUCGUAGAUAUUGGGAAGAACACCAGUGGCGAAGGCGGCUCACUGGCCCGUAACUGACGCUGAGGUGCGAAAGCGUGGGGAGCAAACAGG